AAAUCUUUCUCGUUCCAAAUGAGUAUCCUCUACCAACACUGGUCUCAUAAUCUACCAUCCUCUGUGAAACCAUCUACUCGCCCAAUCCAUGUCCCUCUUCUUGCUCUGAUCCCAUUUUAACUUCGGGGUAGCUAAUAGUGAACUUUAUCUGGCAUCUGGUUCCUACCUCGGGGCCAUAACUUGCAUAAUCGCCCACUCGUUCCUCUUAAAUAAGACAUCACGAUGGAUUAGUUCCAUUCUAGCCCUUGACCCAACAUAACUGCACUGUCAUGCCUUUAGUGGUUUUAUUUUGGGGGGGCGGAAUGCAGGGACUCACCAUUGGCCAUCAGAGGCCUCGUUCCAUUCAACUCAAUUGUAGCUGGACUUAUUAGUAAAUAUUCUUGCUUUACAUAACUACUAUCUGCCAUAGUCAGGCUUAAUGCUCGACAGACCCAAAAAAAAAAAAAAGUUAAAACAGAAAUUCCAAAGUAGGUCCAAAUAUAAAAAUGAAUGUUUAACCAAUUACCCUUUUU
rnacentral:lncRNA from 1 species